CGCCCGAUCUCGUCUGAUCUCGGAAGCUAAGCAGGGUCGGGCCUGGUUAGGAUCUUGGAUGGGAGACCACCUGGGAAUCCCGGGU
rnacentral:rRNA from 1 species